GACGCUUUGUCUUCGCGUCUGAAUGACGGAUUGACGGCCGUUUGCAGCGGCUCUGAAGCGAGUGCGGACGGUCUUAGGACGGUUUCCCUGACGGAUGCGCUUCCGGGGGAGAACCAGGAGAGACACACAACAUCGCCUGGGGCCACCUGCCCGAAGGUGCCCGGGAACACCCACGAAAACACAGAAACCUGGGCUUCGUUAUGCAGGAGUUUUGUUCCUGAAGAUGGCAUUGCUUGCGACCUCCCUCCCCACCCCACUCCUUUCUCCGGGAACAUGAACGUCUCUGGAUUUCUCAAUCUCUGAAUUUGCCAACACCACGAAAAUUCACACCCGAUGCUUUGCAAGAGCUGCUAUUUAUAGGAGCGCUGGGUUUCAGUGGCUUCUCUCCAGAGUUGCAAAGUCACUCUCUAAUGCAGCUGUUUCAUCAGGCACCGCCCCGUGUCCUGGGCAUCUGGUCUUUUUACAUUCCUUUGGGUGCACCCAUAAUAUUCUACUGGGGGCCGGAAGAGAGAAUUUUGGGCUCCAAUUUAGCUUCAUCAUGCAGAAUCGACCUUCCUUUUACAAACUCAUCCAGCCAUCCACUCACUGUUUGUGUGAACUCAGCAAGUUACUGAACCCCCCAGGCUCAGUUUCCCCAUUUGUAAGAUGGGGCCGAGCAGCCCUUAUGACGAGUCCGGGGAAUUGUGAAGUCCCCGGUGCAUGAAUGUCACCGCGAAUGUUGGCUGUAUGAUCACCAGUCACUCAGCAGCACUUGUGUGCACCUGCAUGGGGGCCCCGGGCCCACCAGACUCGGAGGUGACCAAUCUCAGUGCUGGUGAGAAGGGCUAUGACAGGGGCCCUCCAGGGCACUGGCCCUGAGCCCACAUCCCAGGCAGCAGUUAAAGCUGCCAAGGAGAGUGAAAAAAGCCACCCAGGAGCAACCCAGGGCUGGGUCUUGAUGGGAUGAAUAGGAGUUUUCCAGGUAGAAGGUGGGGGAGAGGGACUCGUAUGCAGUGGAGUCAGGAGUCAUUCUCAGGGACAGGUGGAGUGCAGUGGUCUCUAGGAAGAGACAGGUGCCUCAUACCACAUAGAACAAUUAGUUUAAAGUGGGUUAAAGACCUAGAUGUAGAAAUUCAAACUAUAAAUCACUGAGAAGACAUGGGGUGAAUCUUUUUGAGCUUGGUUUACUUAGAUAUGACCCAAAAAGCACAGAAACAAAAGAAAAAGAUAGAUAAACUGAAUUCCUCAAAAUCAACAAAUUUUGUGCUUCAAAGGACACCAUCAAGAAAACCAAAAAACAAUCUGCAAAAUGGGAGAACAUAUUUGCAAAUCACUUGUCUAUAAGAGACUUGUAUCUGGCAUAUAUAAAGGGGGUUAUAUUACACAAAGAACAAUUGCAACUUGACAACGAAAAGACAAGCA
rnacentral:lncRNA from 1 species